rnacentral:lncRNA from 1 species
GAUAAUGUGGGAGAGUGCUUGGCCACCUCGAAGAGCACCUACAUGUUUUCAGGGAGAAGAAAACGCCUGAAAAAAUUAUGUAUUAGUCGAUUAUCACAGCAUGAUCGUGCCGCCAUCUGUUCAUCUAACUUCUUCCUUCUGCAUGCCUCAACCGCCGCCGCCACUCCCCAUGGCCGACGGACGUUGUCUUGGCCCACCGCUAUUCGCGAUCAUCUCUCUAAGGCCCGUUGAUCUAUAGCAACACCGACAACCCCUCCACCCCCACGGCCCGCUUCCUCGCCUUUGCUUGGGAC